rnacentral:lncRNA from 1 species
UAGCAAUUUAACAAUAGUAGUCUUGUAAUGAAGGUGGAGCAUGUUUUGGAGACUGCCUGAAUGGGAUUGUGCAGCCCAGAGAAUGAUGAAGGAACCUGGCUUACUAGCAGAGUUUUACCUCUCAAGGAGCAGUCCAGGGGGAAAGGCAUUUGUUACCCUUCUAUCUACAGGAUCAAGUAUAGAAGCACAGAGCACGGGGCCAGCCACAGAGCCCCGCACAGGGCCAGCCACAGAGCCCCACGUGGAGCCCAGCACAGGGUCAACCACAGAGCCAAGCUCCAAGUCAAGUGUGGAACCAAGCACUGAGCCCAGCCAUGAAGAAAAUGAGGAGCCCAGUGGAGGGCCCUGCAUUGAAGAAAGUGAGGAGACCAGUGGAGAACCCAGCCCAGAUCCAAUUACAGAGUCAACCAGAAACCCAAGUGGAGAACCAAGUACGGAGCCAAACACAGAACUACCCUAA